rnacentral:rRNA from 1 species
GCAAGUCGAGCGGAACGAUGAUAGCUUGCUAUCAGGCGUCGAGCGGCGGACGGGUGAGUAAUACUUAGGAAUCUACCUAGUAGUGGGGGAUAGCACGGGGAAACUCGUAUUAAUACCGCAUACGACCUACGGGAGAAAGGGGGCAGUUUACUGCUCUCGCUAUUAGAUGAGCCUAAGUCGGAUUAGCUAGAUGGUGGGGUAAAGGCCUACCAUGGCGACGAUCUGUAGCUGGUCUGAGAGGAUGAUCAGCCACACCGGGACUGAGACACGGCCCGGACUCCUACGGGAGGCAGCAGUGGGGAAUAUUGGACAAUGGGGGAAACCCUGAUCCAGCCAUGCCGCGUGUGUGAAGAAGGCCUUUUGGUUGUAAAGCACUUUAAGCAGUGAAGAAGACUCCGUGGUUAAUACCCACGGACGAUGACAUUAGCUGCAGAAUAAGCACCGGCUAACUCUGUGCCAGCAGCCGCGGUAAUACAGAGGGUGCAAGCGUUAAUCGAAAUUACUGGGCGUAAAGGGAGCGUAGGUGGCUCGAUAAGUCAGAUGUGAAAUCCCCGGGCUCAACCUGGGAACUGCAUCUGAUACUGUUGAGCUAGAGUAUGUGAGAGGAAGGUAGAAUUCCAGGUGUAGCGGUGAAAUGCGUAGAGAUCUGGAGGAAUACCGAUGGCGAAGGCAGCCUUCUGGCAUAAUACUGACACUGAGGCUCGAAAGCGUGGGUAGCAAACAGGAUUAGAUACCCUGGUAGUCCACGCCGUAAACGAUGUCUACUAGUCGUUGGGUCCCUUGAGGACUUAGUGACGCAGCUAACGCAAUAAGUAGACCGCCUGGGGAGUACGGCCGCAAGGUUAAAACUCAAAUGAAUUGACGGGGGCCCGCACAAGCGGUGGAGCAUGUGGUUUAAUUCGAUGCAACGCGAAGAACCUUACCUGGUCUUGACAUAUCUAGAAUCCUGCAGAGAUGCGGGAGUGCCUUCGGGAAUUAGAAUACAGGUGCUGCAUGGCUGUCGUCAGCUCGUGUCGUGAGAUGUUGGGUUAAGUCCCGCAACGAGCGCAACCCUUGUCCUUAGUUACCAGCGGGUUAAGCCGGGAACUCUAAGGAUACUGCCAGUGACAAACUGGAGGAAGGCGGGGACGACGUCAAGUCAUCAUGGCCCUUACGACCAGGGCUACACACGUGCUACAAUGGUAGGUACAGAGGGCAGCUACACAGCGAUGUGAUGCGAAUCUCAAAAAGCCUAUCGUAGUCCAGAUUGGAGUCUGCAACUCGACUCCAUGAAGUAGGAAUCGCUAGUAAUCGCGGAUCAGAAUGCCGCGGUGAAUACGUUCCCGGGCCUUGUACACACCGCCCGUCACACCAUGGGAGUUGAUUGCACCAGAAGUGGAUAGCUUAACCUUCGGGGAGGCGU